GCGAAUCCUCCCACGCCGAGGAGCCGCAACUUGGUGCACCCGAAAAAACGUACCCAUGAUUUUUACUCUAUCAAGAUCUAUGGCUCACGUCGCUUCUUACCAGGCUUCAACGCCAUCCGACGGCGGAUGUUUUAAGGAUCCGCGUUGAAGCCUGCGCGCGUUGAAGCCUCCCCCGACGCAAUGUCAUCCCCGCCGGCGGGGUUUGAAUCCCACCGGCGCCGUUUAAUGAAAAUCAAAACGAAAAACAAUCAAAACUCCCCAAGACCCCAACCCUCACCCUGCAGCGUCCGGGGCACGCCGCCCUCCACCCUGCCGCGUCCGCCACACGCGCCGAGCCGCGGAGCUGACCUCCGCCGACUCGCAGCGUGCCGCGGAUCCGGCCGCCGCCGCGCCUCCCUCCGGCCGCCGGAGCUCCGCGCGCAGGCGGGAUGAGCAGCAGCAGGCCCCGACGCGCCAAACCCUAGAGCUCCGCGCGCCGGCGGGAUGAGCAGCAGCAGGCUCGGGCGAGGUCCGGCCCAGGCGCCGCCGCCCUGGCGCGGGCGGAGCUUUCCCACGCACACCCAUGCUCCGCUCGACCUCCCGCUGCUCGGUGCCGGGGAAGCCGCCGACGGUACGAACGGCGAGGGCGGAGCUCAAGGCCCCUGCAUCGAUGGACGGGAGAGCCUCACGGAGGCCACGUCGGGGGCAAUCGGCGCGCUCGUGAGCACCAUCGUGCUCUACCCGCUCGACACAUGCAAGACCAAGCUCCAGGCCGAGCUCCAGACGCACCAGGGCAUGCACAAGUACAGGUACAUGUCAGUAGUGGAUUUUCGAGUGCGCAUGGCCAUCUUGUCAGUACUGUUCAAUGCAGGCCUCAAGGAAGCACUACUGCACCAAAAUAAGGUUCCUUGCAUGAGUGACAACAUUGAUGAGCAAUGCAAGCUGCUGCUAGAUGUGAAUGUUCAAGGUUGCUCAGAAUUCAAGAUGUUGCAUAUAUUAAAUGACUGCUCUCAGGCCUGCAUUAAAGCUUUUCUGCUCCUCCAAGGUAAUGGCAGAUACUCCUCCAAGCAUUCAGGGAGUGCAGCGCAUACGGCACUGCUGUACCUCUUGUUCUGAAUGGUUGCCGUGUUGACGUUGUUCAUUACUACGUCCCUUACUUAUCUGCAAUCCAGCUUUACGGUGGAUUCCAGGAAGGCAUUCUUUUUGCCGUGCCAUGGAUGUCACGGAUGUUCAGCAGGGUGGGGGAUCAAUGGAUGCCAGAGGCGGUGUGCCUAAUCUUUUCCAUGCCCUUGGACCAGCACUCCUGAUAUCAAUGGGGUACAUUGAUCUCGGGAAGUGGGUGGCAGCAGUUGAAGCUGGUUCUCGGUUUGGAUUUGACCUUGUGCUGCUGGCUCUCAUUUUCAACUUCACUGUAAUUAUAUGCCAGUACCUUGCUGCUUGCAUUGGCAUGGUCACAGGGAAGAAUCUUGCAGAGGUAUCGGUUUACCUAUAGAUCCAUUGUUUCUUGGGAUUAACUUUUUAUUGAUUGCUAUUUGUUCAGAGUAUUGGUUUCAUGCUUUGCCACAACAGAUUUUUUUUUUAAGUUUUCUGAAAUGCUGUCACUAUUUCUUCUUCUCAAAUUGUACAUAUUGAACGUUAGGAAUGUAAUCCCUGUUAUUACAGAAUUAUGGUUUCUGAUUUUUACAUGUUGAAUGAUUUGCUCAGGACAUCUUGCAGGUGAGGUGGCGCCUAGUAAUCUAUGUUGCUUUGUUUAAUUUAGAUGUCUCGUGCAGUGGUACUAUUGUUAAGAUUGGAUUGCUCUUUACAGAAGGUUUGUCAGAUGGAAUUAUAAUUGCUAGCUAGAUUAUCAUGCCUUCAGCAGUCUAAAGUCACAUAGUUCAGACAUAUAUGUUCAAUAGGAAUACUAAGUCCUAUAUACCAUCAAACCCAGAAGCAUGUGCUUGCUGCCAUUUUUCGUUUUUAACGGAUCUAGUCUGCAUAAGAAAAUUAUCUAAUGUGCUGAUCUGCAUGUUCCAUAUCUGGUGGUUGUUAUUUUUGUGGAAUUGACUACAGAAUUAAUUUAUUCUGCAUUCUUUUGUGCCUAGUACUGCCUUAGUCAAUGCAGAUGCUUCAGCUAAAAGUAUUUGCUUCUGAUCUAUAUCUAUCCAUAUGGUGGGACAGACCCAGUGCUGGUAGCUCCCACGUGAGUGGGGUCUGGGGAAGGAAUGAUCUAUCCAUAUGGUGAAGUCAAAAUAAAUAAAUUGGCGUGACUAGUCUUCAAACGUUUCAGUGCUUUGAUCAGUAUCUAUUUAAGUACAAGAAACAAGCUUUACAUAUCUUUUAGAGGAGUGGGAGGCGAUCUUUGUCUUUUUUUCAUCCGAUUGCAUGAUUAUAAGUUUAUAACUUAAGAAUGAUUGGAUAGCUCUCCCUCCAUCCUACAAUAGCAUAGCUGUCCUAGUACUCGAUGGAGAAUCCCAUAAGCAUUAUUCUGCAGCUGAAAUGACCUAAUGAUUAUUGCUUGUGCCGAAUAUGUUAUUGUUAAUGCCAUCUAAUAAAAAUGCAUUUUGAAUUAAUCUAGGACUAAACAGAAGCCAUUGUUUAGCUUGAUUGGUGCUAGCAUCACCUGACCAUUUAUAAGAUUAAAAUUUGUUGCUUUCUUUUUUUGGAAUUAGUUUAACUGAAUCCCCAUAGAGGCAAGGGAAUUCAAUUAUGGGGUUUUCACAACUUUCAGUAAACUGCUUUUAAAUCUAGAUUCUUUUGAAUUUCUGAAUGUUAAUAUUGGAUCUAUUAAUAUUUUGCUUCCCAUGUCAAUUGCGGCCAGAGUGUGCUGAUUGAACCAACUAGCGGCAACACAGGAAUUGGACUGGCCUUUAUGGCUGCUGCCAAGGGUUACAAACUUAUGGAUCACCCAUAUGGCAUGCCUUGGCCGUUGAUGAUAUCAUCUUUUUGUAGGUUGGAUCUCUUCUGGUGCUGCUGCGGCUGCAACCGUUAGACCGGCUAAGAGGCCUGAAAAUGCUGGAAACUUUUUGUUAUAAGUGUUACCUCCCUGUGAAUUGCUAGCACUAACUGAUUAUGCCAUCUCAAUUCUUGUGUGGCAAACAAUGAAAUAUGAAAUUCUGUUAAAAAAAACAAUGAAAUAUGAAAUUGAAAUGUUCCAGUAAGUGAAAGGGAAGAUUUUACAUGUAGCAGUUUAGAUAUUAUCUCAUUGCCAUAAUUCACAUUUGCAUCCUAAUGUGAGCUUCCUAGUCCAAAUAUGAGAUCUUGACAUCAUUUUCUAUUCAGGUCAUCUUCCCAAGCUUUGGUGAGCGAUACCUGUUGUCAGUGCUUCUCCAGUCCAAAUAUGAGUUUCAGUAGUAACUGAUUAACUGAAUGCAUCUAGUAUUUUUGUGUACCUUGAUUCCAUGCCUCUCUCUCGACAAAUUUGCUUCUUCAAAUAUUGUUCAUCUUACAAACUCUACUGAAACUGAUGGAACUCCAAUACAUUUAGCGUAUGCUAUUUUUUGGGGGUCUGCAGCUGAUUUUAGAGUGCUAGCUUAUCUCAAAUGUUCUUACUGUAUUCUUCUACCUUAUCUUUAAUUGAUUCAUAAAUUAAUUAGUUGAUGUCAAUGCCAUAUGAUGCAGAUCAUGCCCGUUCUGCCUUCAGCACAGAACAUGCCACGUCGCCACAUGUUGCUGUUGCAUGGAAUGGAAACACGAGAUGAUUGUUUGGCUAGAUAUGUUGCUGCCAUAUAUAGAUUUUUUUUUUUGGGUUAGUAACUACUUGGGAGAAUGUAUCUGAGUGACCCCUGCUGUAAGAGAAGAGAAGGCCGGCUGCUGUGCAAAAUGAAACAGAAAAAAUAUAAAAAUAGGGUUAAUGAAAAGGCAAAAUGGUACUCACUUUA